AUUGGACGCUGGCGGCAGGCUUAACACAUACAAGUCGAGCGGAGUGAUGGUGCUUGCACUAUCACUUAGCGGCGGACGGGUGAGUAAUGCUUAGGAAUCUGCCAUUUAGUGGGGGACAACAUUCCGAAAGGAAUGCUAAUACCGCAUACGUCCUACGGGAGAAAGCAGGGGAUCUUCGGACCUUGCGCUAAAUGAUGAGCCUAAGUCGGAUUAGCUAGUUGGUGGGGUAAAGGCCUACCAAGGCGACGAUCUGUAGCGGGUCUGAGAGGAUGAUCCGCCAAACUGGGACUGAGACACGGCCCAGACUCCUACGGGAGGCAGCAGUGGGGAAUAUUGGACAAUGGGCGGAAGCCUGAUCCAGCCAUGCCGCGUGUGUGAAGAAGGCCUUUUGGUUGUAAAGCACUUUAAGCGAGGAGGAGGCUACUAGUACUAAUACUACUGGAUAGUGGACGUUACUCGCAGAAUAAGCACCGGCUAACUCUGUGCCAGCCGCCGCAGUAAAAC
rnacentral:rRNA from 1 species